UUUUAAGUUUGAUUUUGGUUUAGGUUGUAUUAAGAUAGUAUUACUUAUUUUUAGUUUAUUUAAUGUGUUAUUUUUUGUACACUGGUAGUUUUUUGAUUGUUUUAUUAACGUUCCAGAAUAAUCGGCUAUGCGUUUUAAUUUUUGACUCUAUUUGUUGUGGUGCUAUGAGUUUUUAGUUUGUUUUUAUGUUGUUUUUUGUAAAAUAUUUUGAUUUUUUUUAGUUUCUUGUGGUAUCAAAAAUUUGUUUUUUGAACUGGAUUAGUACCCAGGUAAUCAAAAUUUAAUAAUUCGGGAGUAAAGUUUUGUUUAAACCGAAAAAAUAUUGACUGACUUUAGAUUUUUCUUUGGAACAUGUGAUUUGCUGGAGAGCCCUCUUUUUUGGUGAAUUUUGUUGGCACAUGUAUGAUUGUUUAGUUUUUAUUUUAUUUUGUAAUGCUUUGUUGUUUUGGCAUUAAAAACAGAUAUAUAUUUGGCUUAUGAAUUUAUGUUUCAUGUGUUACUAUUAUGAAUUUUUUUUGGAUUAGUUUUUUAUUUUUUUUUGAAAUUGGAAAAGAAAGUAAUUUUUUUUUAAUGUUUUAAUGAAUUUAAUAAAUAAGGUGGUACAAACCAUCCGUCAAUGGCCUAAAGGGGCGUAAGUUGUAGUAUGGUAGAAGUAAGGAAACUUGUUUCUAUUUUUUGAAGUUUU
rnacentral:ncRNA from 1 species